rnacentral:rRNA from 1 species
GUCCUUUUGUUAAUAAUUUAAGGUCUAACCUGCCCACUGAGAUUUUAAAUGGCCGUGGUAUUUUGACCGUGCUAAGGUAGCAUAAUCAUUAGUUUUUUAAUUAAAAACUGGAAUGAAAGGUUGGAUAAGAAAAUAGCUGUCUCUGUUAAAUUUAAUUAGAAUUUUAUUUUUAAGUUAAAAAGCUUAAUUAUUAUUAAAAGACGAGAAGACCCUAUAGAGUUUAAUUAUUUAAUAAAAAAUAUAUUUUAGUAUUUAUUUAUUUAUUUUAUUAAAUAAUUUAAUUGGGGUGAUUGAAAAAUUUAUUUAACUUUUUUUAUUUUAAAACAUUAAUUUAUGAGUAUAUGAUCCAAUAUUUUUGAUUAUAAGAUAAAAUUACCUUAGGGAUAACAGCGUAAUUUUUUUAGAAAGUUCAUAUUAAAAAAAAAGAUUGCGACCUCGAUGUUGGAUUAAAAUAAAUUUUUGGUGUAGAAGCUAAAAAUAUUAGGUCUGUUCGACCUUUAAAAUUUUACA